rnacentral:ncRNA from 1 species
AAGAGCCGUAUGAUGGGAGACUAUCACGUACGGUUCCUUUAGAUUUGAAUCUAUAAACAAUAUACAAUUAAUCAAUAAUUAUGU